rnacentral:rRNA from 1 species
GACAGAGGUGCCGAGCGUUAGGCGGAAUCACUGGGCUUAAAGCGUGUGUAGGCGGCCCGUUAAGUGUCUUGUGAAAUCCCCCGGCUCAACCGGGGAACGGCUGGGCAUACUGGCGGGCUUGGGUCGCUCAGGGGCAGACGGAACAGGCGGUGGAGCGGUGAAAUGCGUAGAUAUCACUUGGAACGCCAAUGGUGAAAACAGACUGCUGGGGGUUCGCUGACGCUGAGACACGAAAGCCAGGGGAGCAAACGGG